CUUCAGCGAGCCCAGCAGCAACGGCGUCGACCGGCCCUGGCCGUAGGUGGCCAGCAACGCCUGCGCCUC
rnacentral:antisense_RNA from 1 species